GGGUUGUGAGGUUAAGCGACUAAGCGUACACGGUGGAUGCCCUGGCAGUCAGAGGCGAUGAAGGACGUGCUAAUCUGCGAUAAGCGUCGGUGAGGUGAUAUGAACCGUUAUAACCGGCGAUUUCCGAAUGGGGAAACCCAGUGUGAUUCGUCACACUAUCAUUAACUGAAUCCAUAGGUUAAUGAGGCGAACCGGGGAACUGAAACAUCUAAGUACCCCGAGGAAAAGAAAUCAACCGAGAUUCCCCCAGUAGCGGCGAGCGAACGGGGAGGAGCCCAGAGCCUGAAUCAGUGUGUGUGUUAGUGGAAGCGUCUGGAAAGGCGCGCGAUACAGGGUGACAGCCCCGUACACAAAAAUGCACAUAUUGUGAGCUCGAUGAGUAGGGCGGGACACGUGGUAUCCUGUCUGAAUAUGGGGGGACCAUCCUCCAAGGCUAAAUACUCCUGACUGACCGAUAGUGAACCAGUACCGUGAGGGAAAGGCGAAAAGAACCCCGGCGAGGGGAGUGAAAAAGAACCUGAAACCGUGUACGUACAAGCAGUGGGAGCCUCUUAAUGGGGUGACUGCGUACCUUUUGUAUAAUGGGUCAGCGACUUAUAUUCUGUAGCAAGGUUAACCGAAUAGGGGAGCCGAAGGGAAACCGAGUCUUAACUGGGCGUUAAGUUGCAGGGUAUAGACCCGAAACCCGGUGAUCUAGCCAUGGGCAGGUUGAAGGUUGGGUAACACUAACUGGAGGACCGAACCGACUAAUGUUGAAAAAUUAGCGGAUGACUUGUGGCUGGGGGUGAAAGGCCAAUCAAACCGGGAGAUAGCUGGUUCUCCCCGAAAGCUAUUUAGGUAGCGCCUCGUGAAUUCAUCUCCGGGGGUAGAGCACUGUUUCGGCAAGGGGGUCAUCCCGACUUACCAACCCGAUGCAAACUGCGAAUACCGGAGAAUGUUAUCACGGGAGACACACGGCGGGUGCUAACGUCCGUCGUGAAGAGGGAAACAACCCAGACCGCCAGCUAAGGUCCCAAAGUCAUGGUUAAGUGGGAAACGAUGUGGGAAGGCCCAGACAGCCAGGAUGUUGGCUUAGAAGCAGCCAUCAUUUAAAGAAAGCGUAAUAGCUCACUGGUCGAGUCGGCCUGCGCGGAAGAUGUAACGGGGCUAAACCAUGCACCGAAGCUGCGGCAGCGACACUAUGUGUUGUUGGGUAGGGGAGCGUUCUGUAAGCCUGUGAAGGUGGCCUGUGAGGGUUGCUGGAGGUAUCAGAAGUGCGAAUGCUGACAUAAGUAACGAUAAAGCGGGUGAAAAGCCCGCUCGCCGGAAGACCAAGGGUUCCUGUCCAACGUUAAUCGGGGCAGGGUGAGUCGACCCCUAAGGCGAGGCCGAAAGGCGUAGUCGAUGGGAAACAGGUUAAUAUUCCUGUACUUGGUGUUACUGCGAAGGGGGGACGGAGAAGGCUAUGUUGGCCGGGCGACGGUUGUCCCGGUUUAAGCGUGUAGGCUGGUUUUCCAGGCAAAUCCGGAAAAUCAAGGCUGAGGCGUGAUGACGAGGCACUACGGUGCUGAAGCGACAAAUGCCCUGCUUCCAGGAAAAGCCUCUAAGCAUCAGGUAACAUCAAAUCGUACCCCAAACCGACACAGGUGGUCAGGUAGAGAAUACCAAGGCGCUUGAGAGAACUCGGGUGAAGGAACUAGGCAAAAUGGUGCCGUAACUUCGGGAGAAGGCACGCUGAUAUGUAGGUGAAGCGACUUGCUCGUGGAGCUGAAAUCAGUCGAAGAUACCAGCUGGCUGCAACUGUUUAUUAAAAACACAGCACUGUGCAAACACGAAAGUGGACGUAUACGGUGUGACGCCUGCCCGGUGCCGGAAGGUUAAUUGAUGGGGUUAGCGGUAACGCGAAGCUCUUGAUCGAAGCCCCGGUAAACGGCGGCCGUAACUAUAACGGUCCUAAGGUAGCGAAAUUCCUUGUCGGGUAAGUUCCGACCUGCACGAAUGGCGUAAUGAUGGCCAGGCUGUCUCCACCCGAGACUCAGUGAAAUUGAACUCGCUGUGAAGAUGCAGUGUACCCGCGGCAAGACGGAAAGACCCCGUGAACCUUUACUAUAGCUUGACACUGAACAUUGAGCCUUGAUGUGUAGGAUAGGUGGGAGGCUUUGAAGUGUGGACGCCAGUCUGCAUGGAGCCGACCUUGAAAUACCACCCUUUAAUGUUUGAUGUUCUAACGUGGGCCCCUUACCGGGGUUGCGGACAGUGUCUGGUGGGUAGUUUGACUGGGGCGGUCUCCUCCUAAAGAGUAACGGAGGAGCACGAAGGUUGGCUAAUCCUGGUCGGACAUCAGGAGGUUAGUGCAAUGGCAUAAGCCAGCUUGACUGCGAGCGUGACGGCGCGAGCAGGUGCGAAAGCAGGUCAUAGUGAUCCGGUGGUUCUGAAUGGAAGGGCCAUCGCUCAACGGAUAAAAGGUACUCCGGGGAUAACAGGCUGAUACCGCCCAAGAGUUCAUAUCGACGGCGGUGUUUGGCACCUCGAUGUCGGCUCAUCACAUCCUGGGGCUGAAGUAGGUCCCAAGGGUAUGGCUGUUCGCCAUUUAAAGUGGUACGCGAGCUGGGUUUAGAACGUCGUGAGACAGUUCGGUCCCUAUCUGCCGUGGGCGCUGGAGAACUGAGGGGGGCUGCUCCUAGUACGAGAGGACCGGAGUGGACGCAUCACUGGUGUUCGGGUUGUCAUGCCAAUGGCACUGCCCGGUAGCUAAAUGCGGAAGAGAUAAGUGCUGAAAGCAUCUAAGCACGAAACUUGCCCCGAGAUGAGUUCUCCCUGACUCCUUGAGAGUCCUGAAGGAACGUUGAAGACGACGACGUUGAUAGGCCGGGUGUGUAAGCGCAGCGAUGCGUUGAGCUAACCGGUACUAAUGAACCGUGAGGCUUAACCUUACAACGCCGAAG
rnacentral:rRNA from 1 species